CACAGAAGAGAUAAUACCAGAAGUCUCACUCGAGCGGAAACAUGUCCCAUCUUUUUUAUUGCGCAUGCGCGAGCUAAACAAGUGUAAUGCAAUGUUGACAAUAGAAAAUUAUAUUGGGAAGUUGUCAUUCCUACAGUAAAAACAGCUUUUUUUCAAGUAGUACGAAAUGUGACUUCGAUUUAUCUGUGGAACUAUUUGAACAGAAGGUAAAGCAGUAAUUUUGUUGUAUUUAGAAAGCAAACAGGGUCAUAUUUUAAAGAAAAUAUAGCGCACUGAAUAUAAAUUUAAGCAUCAUUAAAAUGUGUUCGCUAUGAUGCCAUUUUGUCUCGAGUAUAUACGGAGUACUGCUUUUAUACUGGUGGAUAUUCGAAUUUAUUUGGCUCAAAAACACCAUUACUUCAAUAUCCCUUUCUUGUUUUUCCUUGGAUAGGUUUUAACAAGAUAGAACUCUAGAUCACUUGGAUCCAAAAACGCUAGAUUAUAAAAUCCUGAUGUGACUUGAU